GCGUUGACCAAAACAAGAGUUGAUUGCUCUAUUACAGUCAAUCUUCAUUGUUUCAUUGAAUCAGACUAUGACUUACACUGAUCAGCCACAAUUUUAAAACCACAAACAGGUGACGCGAAUAACAUUGAUUAUCUUGUUACAAUGGCACCUGUCAAGGAUAUAUUAGGCAGCAAACGAAAUCAUCUGAGUGACUUUGACAAGGGCCAAAUAGUGAUGGCUAGACGACUGGGUC